CAGCCGCGGUAAUACGGAGGGUGCAAGCGUUGUUCGGAAUUAUUGGGCGUAAAGCGAGUGUAGGCGGUUUGGCAAGUCGGAUGUGAAAGCCCAGGGCCCAACCCUGGAAUUGCAUCCGAUACUGUCAGGCUAGAGUCCCGGAGAGGGUGGCGGAAUUCCCGGUGUAGGGGUGAAAUCCGUAGAUAUCGGGAGGAACACCAGUGGCGAAGGCGGCCACCUGGACGGUGACUGACGCUGAGACUCGAAAGCGUGGGUAGCAAACAGGAUUAGAUACCCUGGUAGUCCACGCCGUAAACGGUGAGUGCUCGUCGUCGUGGGUAUUGACCCCUGCGGUGACCAAGUUAACGCAUGAAGCACUCCGCCUGGGAAGUACGGUCGCAAGACUAAAACUCAAAGAAAUUGACGGGGGCCCGCACAAGCGGUGGAGCAUGUUGUUUAAUUCGAAGCAACGCGCAGAACCUUACCUGGAUUUGACAUCCUCGGAAUCUCUCUGAAAGGAGAGAGUGCCUUCGGGAGCCGAGAGACAGGUGCUGCAUGGCUGUCGUCAGCUCGUGUCGUGAGGUGUUGGGUUAAGUCCCGCAACGAGCGCAACCCCUAUCGUUAGUUGCUAGCAGUUCGGCUGAGCACUCUAGCGAGACUGCCGGUGUUAAACCGGAGGAAGGUGGGGAUGACGUCAAGUCCUCAUGGCCUUUAUGUCCAGGGCUACUAACGUGCUACAAUGGUCGGUACAGACGGUCGCGAACCCGCGAGGGCAAGCCAAUCCUAAAAAGCCGGCCUCAGUUCGGAUUGGAGUCUGCAAUUCGACUCCAUGAAGGCGGAAUCGCUAGUAAUCGCAGAUCAGCAUGCUGCGGUGAAUACGUUCCCGGGCCUGCACACACCGC
rnacentral:rRNA from 1 species